GGCAAAGAAGCACCACUCUGACAUGGAAAAUAGUUUCCAUUUUCAGAUUAUUCUUUUUUAACUGGGUUUAACUUUAUAGUAGGGUUAAAUGUGGCAUUUGAAGGUUGGUGAGUAACAAGAUCUUUUAAAAGAUGGUGAAUUCCGACAAGAAAAGACCAAGGCAACUGACGCAUGAGACCGAGGUAUUUAUCUGACGGCGAUUGAAGUCACCAGCUUAACAGUUAGAUUUUCUGUUAUCCUGGGCCAAAAACAUCAUUAAGAAUGGCACAGACAUUUAGAGAAAUGAGUUGAUGACAGACCAUGAGAUCCCAGGGAGAGAGAAGGAGAUAAAGAGAGUAAUGUAGACUUUUUAAUUUUUUAUGAGGUGUUAAAGUCAAGCGACCACCAGAUCAGCCAGCUCAGAUAUAUUUGGAAACACAUCAAUCUAUUUUAAACUUAAGAUACUGAAAGCCCCAUUUGAACACACAGAAUCAAUAGUGGAAGCCAAUUAGGAAUACAGUUAAAUAGUGGAAAGAGCUUAAGCCAGAGAACUCCAGGUUCAAGAACCACCACCUGCAAACUUGGCAAAUUUGGACAAAUGUCUCUCUGAGUUUCAUUGUCUUCAUCCGCAAAUAAAGCAAGAUAUACUUCACCUACAGAAUUGCACAAUUAUGACCAGACCACGAGAGUAUGAAGGAUGAGGAAACGGGAGCAGUGAUGGAGCUGUUUUGGAGGGAGUCAUAAUUCCUUAGACCUCUAACAACUGGAACUCUCAAUCUGCCAGUAAUAGCUGACAUGAGCCCAAUAAGGAUGGUCUGUUCUAUUCAAAGGGACACCCUCUUUUUAAAGGACAUUCAAUUCAAAUGUAUCUUCUCUGGUUAAAGUAUGGUGAAGUCUGUCCUGUGGGCACUCUCCAUUGACUCCUAGCAGCUCUUGAGCCCCAUCUUCAGGAUCCAUACUUUGAUAGUCACUGACCAUUAGCUUUGAAAAUCUAUAGUUCCAAUCCUGUGAAACGAGAAGAAUGUUGAAGCUAUAAAGGAAGUCUUUGCCUGCAUUCAGAUUCUAACACCAAAGACUCCUCUGAUUAUACUGAAGUAUGUAAGAAAACCUUCUCUCGAAAUCAGGGACCAUUUCUCUUCAUCUUAUCUUCAGCUACAUCCCAAAUAUGAGUACACAUACGUAGGAUUCAAUAAAUAAUUUAAGAUAAUUGUGAACACCUUGCUCUGACUGGUUCUAUUUUUACAUUCAGAGAGGAAAGCAUCCUGUAUUCUCCCUAUAAACAAGUCUAGGAGGAUAGGGUCAUGGACAUCCUCUGUACACAGAAUUACAGUCCGAUGUUGGGUAUCUUACUCCUGUGAAGUGAAGGGAAAUACAAAAGUAAACAAAGAAAACCACAGUAUAAGAUGUCACCUUAAAAUAUAAACCUGAAGAUGAGAAAA